rnacentral:lncRNA from 1 species
GGCAGAUGAAAAACAUGUCCAAAAGAGGCGUAAGUACACCACUACGGUACUCAGUAAGUGCCAAGCCUAACCUCGAUUGAGUAGUGACGAGGAAGAUCGAGGCCCUAAUGAGAUAAAUAUAAAAAUAAAUAUGAAAUGAAUAGGCACUAGGAGUAUAGUAAAUCUCGAGUAUCUAGAAAAAAUAAUAUGUAGAAAGGAAACAAGCUACUAGUACAAUCUACGAUUACACAAACAAUCACUACAUGCUAUUUAACAUCAGGGAUGUCCUGGUAUCCUCAUCAUAUAUACAAGGGAUCUCUAUGUAUCCCGAGGAUCUCCUAGUAUCCUCCAUUUAAUCACGAGGGAUCUCCAAGUAUCUCGAGGAUCUCCUAGUAUCCUCCAUUUAAUCACGAGGGAUCUCUAAGUAUCAAUAGAAUCUCCUAGUAUCCUCCAUUUAAUCACGAGGGAUCACCAAGUAUCUCGAGGGUCUGCUAGUAUCCUCCAUUUAAUUAACCAUGUGCCGGAGAUCUCUUAGUAUUUCACACUUCCAAUCUCAGAACACAGUACGUACUGGGGUACUUCCGGGAUGUCAUCCCGUAGAUCGAAUCGUAAAUACAUCACAGCAAUUCAAUAUUGAACAGCACAAGCUAAGAACCAAUAAUAGGUAAAAUCUAGAGUCUAGCAUGCUUCACAAAAAGGCAGAUAUUGCAAUUUAGUCAAGUAGAGCAAAUAAGUUACUAACAUACUUUCCCUAAGCUAAAACAAAUGAAAUUUCAUUCUUAGCUGUUAAAUACGUGAACAAACACAGUCUAAAUAAGUCAAGUAAGGCAAAUUUUUAAUAAUUAGCACAAGUACACGCCUGACACCUUGUGCACAAGGCAUUGAAACAAUAGUCAAGAUGGGGAGAGGUCCCCCAUACAAGGUAAGACAAGCCAAUUACCUCGAACCAGUACAAAAAUCGCUAAGAAACGAUGCCCUUGCCACAAGUAUCCGUCUCCGAGUGGCCCAAAUGUAUUCAAACCAAUUACAUAUUGUAAAUAACAUCGCAAGUAGCUAACACCACUAUUAAAAUUAAAGCUAAGGCGCGAAAAUAGCUAAAAUAACAAAAAAAUUAAAUUUACGUUCACCACCCUUUGCCAUUCAAUAUAUAAGUUAGCAGAAAAUUCUACUUCUAUCAUAAAUGGGAUGGACAAGUAGCAAUAUAGGUCAGAAAAAAAAACUUAAUUCACUUUCACGACCUUUUGCAAUCAAAAUUCUACAUGAAUCAUAAAUGGGAUGGAUGCAAGCAGCAAUAUAGGUCAGAAAAAAAAACAUAAUUCACUUUCACGACAUUUUUCCAUCAAAA